AUUGAACGCUGGCGGCAGGCUUAACACAUGCAAGUCGAGCGGAGAUGAGGUGCUUGCACCUUAUCUUAGCGGCGGACGGGUGAGUAAUGCUUAGGAAUCUGCCUAUUAGUGGGGGACAACAUUCCGAAAGGAAUGCUAAUACCGCAUACGCCCUACGGGGGAAAGCAGGGGAUCUUCGGACCUUGCGCUAAUAGAUGAGCCUAAGUCGGAUUAGCUAGUUGGUGGGGUAAAGGCCUACCAAGGCGACGAUCUGUAGCGGGUCUGAGAGGAUGAUCCGCCACACUGGGAGUGAGACACGGCCCAGACUCCUACGGGAGGCAGCAGUGGGGAAUAUUGGACAAUGGGCGGAAGCCUGAUCCAGCCAUGCCGCGUGUGUGAAGAAGGCCUUUUGGUUGUAAAGCACUUUAAGCGAGGAGGAGGCUACCUGGAUUAAUACUCUAGGAUAGUGGACGUUACUCGCAGAAUAAGCACCGGCUAACUCUGUGCCAGCAGCCGCGGUAAAAC
rnacentral:rRNA from 1 species